GCACAACGCGAAGAACCUUACCUAGGCUUGACAUGCAUCUCUAAGCACGUGAAAGCGUGUGACCCUUCGGGGAAUUUGCACAGGUGCUGCAUGGCCGUCGUCAGCUCGUGUCGUGAGAUGUUGGGUUAAGUCCCGCAACGAGCGCAACCCUUGUGACUAGUUGCCAGCACGUCAUGGUGGGAACUCUAGUCAGACUGCCCAGAUCAACUGGGAGGAAGGUGGGGACGACGUCAGGUCAGUAUGGCCCUUACGCCUAGGGCUGCACACGUACUACAAUGCCCAGCACAAUGAGAACCGAGACCGCGAGGUGGAGGAAAUCUAAAAAACUGGGCCCAGUUCGGAUUGGAGGCUGCAACUCGCCUCCAUGAAGUUGGAAUCGCUAGUAAUGGCGCAUCAUCUACGGCGCCGUGAAUACGUUCCCGGGUCUUGUACACACCG
rnacentral:rRNA from 1 species